CCGGUUGAUCCUGCCAGAGGUUACUGCUAUCGAGGUUCGACUAAGCCAUGCGAGUCGAAUGUAGCAAUACAUGGCGUACUGCUCAGUAACACGUGGAUAACCUGCCCUUAGAACGGGGAUAAACCCGGGAAACUGGGUAUAAUACCCGAUAGAUCUCGAUUGCUGGAAUGCAUCGAGCUUUAAAGCUCCGGCGUCUAAGGAUGGAUCUGCGGCCUAUCAGGUAGUAGUGGGUGUAGCGUACCUACUAGCCUACGACGGGUACGGGUUGUGAGAGCAAGAGCCCGGAGAUGGAUUCUGAGACACGAAUCCAGGCCCUACGGGGUGCAGCAGGCGCGAAAACUUUACAAUGCCGGCAACGGCGAUAAGGGGACCUCGAGUGCCAGGUUACAAAUCUGGCUGUCGUGAUGCCUAAAAAGCAUUGCAUAGCAAGGGCCGGGCAAGACCGGUGCCAGCCGCCGCGGUAACACCGGCGGCUCGAGUGGUAACCGUUAUUAUUGGGUCUAAAGGGUCUGUAGCCGGCCGGAUAAGUCUCUUGGGAAAUCUGGCAGCUUAACUGUCAGGCUUUCAGGAGAUACUGUCUGGCUCGAGGCCGGGAGAGGUGAGAGGUACUUCAGGGGUAGGGGUGAAAUCUUGUAAUCCUUGAAGGACCACCAGUGGCGAAGGCGUCUCACCAGAACGGACCUGACGGCAAGGGACGAAAGCUAGGGGCACGAACCGGAUUAGAUACCCGGGUAGUCCUAGCCGUAAACGAUACUCGCUAGGUGUCAGGUGCGGUGCGACCGCAUCUGGUGCCGUAGUGAAAACUUGAAGCGAGUCACCUGGGAAGUACGGUCGCAAGGCUGAAACUUAAAGGAAUUGGCGGGGGAGCACUACAACGGGUGGAGCCUGCGGUUCAAUUGGAUUCAACGCCGGG
rnacentral:rRNA from 1 species